rnacentral:lncRNA from 1 species
ACCAAUCUGCUGCAUUUGUCAACAUUAAUGAAACAAUAAUUUGACUUCCCAAUACUGUAAGAUAUAUUUGUUCUAUCAUCUUUUUCAAAGUAUUCUAGCUAUCUCCAUUUCUAUUACUUCCGUAUGAUAUUAUCGUCGUGGCCAUAAAUGUUUUUAUUUAUUUCACCGAGACAACUCCAAUUUAUUUCAUUUAGUUGAUAUUAUAUUUUUCAGAAAAGCAAUUGAGUAAAUCUGGCACAUGUCUCUCCAUGUUUAUCAUCCAAAAUUAUUGUUUUCGUAGGCUAGUUUUGGUAUUUAUAGGCUACAACGACUUUUUGCUUCAUUCACAUGCCGAUAAUUUGAUUAUAGGAGUGUUUUGUUUGAAUAGAGAUGGAAUUUAAGUUAUAUAUACGGUCAAUUUAAAAGAUAAGUACCGUUUAGCUGCACAAGAUUCAUUCACACUCCGAUAAUAUGAUUAUCGGAGUGUUUUAUUUGAAUGGAGAUGGAUUUUAAGUUAUAUACACAAUCAAUUUAAGAGAUAUUAUACUAUUUACCUACACAAGAACUUGAAAAAAUAUCGCUUACAGUUUAAGUGUAUAAUAUUCGUGCCUUCAUUUGAGUUUGGGUAUUGAUGAAAUGGUCAUCCAACUUUUAGUUUAUUACAUCAAAGUUAUAAAACUACUUUUUGAAGCAGAAAAAUAACUCGCAACAUUAAAUUAAGAAAAAGUCAUAAAAUGCUAAAUUUGAUCCGAAGAAACAUAAGUAGGCUGCCAAAAUAUAUAAAAUUAUCAACUAUAGCCACAUAAUUAACCAACUCACCAUACUUUAACCCCAACUAUAAAAACAAUAAACUUGUUUAUUCCGACCCAACCUAGUACCCAAUGUCUUUCACAGUAUGGCACAAUCAUGGGUUUUUUAUAUUUUUUAAAAUUGGUCAUUUUUUAUUUCAGUCCACCUGGAUAUUGUGUAAAGAUGAGUUAAUGAAAUAGCAAUCUACUUUUAUUUCCAAGAUCGGAUUUAGCAUUUUCUUGCUAUUUUUUUAUUUUCUAUACUAUAUAGAUAUAGUUGUGUUUUGUCCGUUACCGAUAUUAGUUAGUAUGAUUUUGGUGCAUGCAAUAAAAAAAAUUGGUCGUCGCCUCAUGUGAAAUUAAUUCCUAAAAAAUUGAUCUCUUGUGACCACUUACGAUCUGAAUAGAAGAAAAUGACCUUUUCAAAUCUCUUAUUAUUAUUUUUAGAUCUUUUAUGUGUAAAAAUAAAGAUCUCUUGUAAAUAAGAUAUAAAGCUAAAAAUAAGUUUAUAAAGAACUUGUCUAACUAUUUGAAAAGACGGAUAACAAAAAGUAAGAUUUAUUUUAUCUUAAUCGAUAAAUUAAAUUUUUUUUGGCAGGAAAUCAAUUAAAAAAAAUGUCAGGCAAGCAAAACAUGGCGUUGUUGCAAAUUUGCACAUUUCUCUUAAUAUUAUUUCCUAAAGAAAUGGUAAAUUGUACAAUAUUAACACCUGAACAAAAGGAAAAAAUUUGUCAGCAAGAAUGUGUAGAUGAAUAUACGCAACUCUAUUGGGUGGGUCUUACUGCAGAAAAGGAGAAAGAAUAUGCAGAAGCUUGUAAAAGAGGUGAAAGAUUAUCUCCAUGUCCGCUGGAUCUCAAAGAACCCAACCUUCCGAUUUGGACGCGGCCCGUGGAGCAGUUACAUCCCCGAAAAUUUCAUUAACUUUUAUAGUCAGACCUCUCUAUAACAGUCAUUCAUUAUAAAAGUUAAGUUUUUCUCGAAAUCGAUUUUUAUGGUAUAUUAUAAUAUAUGUUCUAUACAACAGUACUUUACUAUAUCGGACGUUAUAAAGAAAUUUGACUGUAUAUGUUUUAAUAUAUUGAGAGGCUUCAUUUAAUUAUCACAAAGUUGGUUCGUAUGGACUUUUG